UUUCCAGAAAGCAAAGUAAGCCAAUACAUUUUAUUACGUAUUUAUGGUUUUUGAAAAUUUUUGUUUUCUACGAACCUACACCAGCUAGAAAAAUAAUUGCCAACUCUUCCCACAAUGACUGAUGCCGUUUGUGAUGUUGCUACUGGCAGAAAGAUUUUCUCAGAAGACUGAAAAAAAAUAAAAUAUAAAUAUUGUGGUUUUUUAUUGUCUUUAUGAAAAACUAUAUUUUUGGCCCUUGGACCUGAGAGAUAAUUUACAUAGCCAAUUACAAAAGCUCUCACAGAAUGACUGCACACCUGCAUUGGGUGAAACCGAAAGAAAAACUCUCUUGUUCAGUAAAGCACCAUAUGCAAAUUGGGGGAAUAAAAGGAGCACAACAGCUGGCAUGAAAAGAAUAGUUUACAGAUUCUUAGGGAGCACUGGUCUGGAGGCAUUCAGAAGCGUCAUCAGGCUGGCAAAAGUGCACUAUGCAACUAGGGUAACCUUCAGUAUGAAAAAAAAAACAGCUUUUAAAGAAACAGGUAAAUGUUAUUAUGAUCAAAGUCCAAAACUCAUUGGCAUUGAUAACCGAGCAUUGAGCAAAAUGGAAACAGCCGUUAACAAAUUCAUUAAGAGCCUCUUUACAUUCCCACCAUCAAUUGAAAACAUAUGUUUAAUCUGUACUCUCUUUAAUUUAUUUCAAUUAUUAUUGGUAGAAAAAAGGUAACCUGCUUGAAUAUCAUAAAGAUAUGUCAAUGACAUACUUCUUGUAUUUCCAGGUCAGGUUGUGCACACCUUCAGUCAACAUUUAUAUAAAAUGACAGCAACCUUUGAAGGCCUAGUUCUUCCUUGAGCAAAGAAGUGAUUAUUCAUCACAAAGGGACAGCUAAGAGGAUCUUAGAGGCAAUGUUGCCUAUGGAAAGAGCUCUUGACCAUUCUUUAAUAGGAGAAAAGGACACCAACAUGAAGCUGAACGAAUUUCAGGAAGAAAAAAGAUGCUAAUAUUUUGUACCUUAAAGAAGAAAGGACUGAGAAAAUCAUUAAGGUGACAGAUCUUACAGACAGGCUGAAGAAGGAUGGAAAAGCAACUCUAGUUUAAGAUAUAUUUAUCCCUGGAAAUGAAUCUACCAGCAGUCUGGAUAAGACCAUGGGAAAAACACCGUGGACAGUGAAAAAUUGUCUGUGAGUUGAUAAUUAUUGAAACAGACAUGAAGGUAAGUGGGAAUGCACUAUAGUAUUCUUUCCACCUUUGUAUAAGCUUGAAAAUUUUUCAUAAUUAAGUUUUUAAAAAUUAGUUUAACAAUACGAUGGGCAAAGUGUUCCACCAAAUGCCUCCUAGGAUGAUGUGAAUUUCAGCUGUGCUGUAAGUAUUACUCCAGCAUCUAUCUCUUAACUGUUGGCUAUAGUGCAACAUUACAGUCUCCAAGGAGGCUGCCUGCCCUCUUGGCAGCAGGGUGAGUGCCAUGAUGCAGCUGCUGUUGGCAUGCUGAGAGCUGGAAGGGGAGAAAUAUAAGCCAAAACAAGAGUAAGUCACAAAGAAAAUGUGAGUCAAAAUUCAAG